GCCGAAGUGGUGGAAUUUGGUAGACACGCUAUCUUGAGGGGGUAGUGAGCUAAUGCUCGUGCGGGUUCAAGUCCCGCCUUCGGCACCA
rnacentral:tRNA from 2 species